UACGUAGGGGGCUAGCGUUGUCCGGAAUCAUUGGGCGUAAAGAGCGUGUAGGCGGCCCGGUAAGUCCGCUGUGAAAGUCGGGGGCUCAACCCUCGGAUGCCGGUGGAUACUGUCGGGCUAGAGUGCGGAAGAGGCGAGUGGAAUUCCUGGUGUAGCGGUGAAAUGCGCAGAUAUCAGGAAGAACACCCGUGGCUAAGGCGGUUCUCUAGUACGGUACUGACGCUGAGACGCGAAAGCGUGGGGAGCGAACAGG
rnacentral:rRNA from 1 species